rnacentral:piRNA from 1 species
UUGAAGAAUCCAUAUUCAGACAGUAGUUC